GACGAACGCUGGCGGCGUGCAUAAUACAUGCAAGUAGAACGCACAGGAUGCACCGUAGUUUACUACACCGUAUUCUGUGAGUUGCGAACGGGUGAGUAACGCGUAGGUAACCUGCCUGGUAGCGGGGGAUAACUAUUGGAAACGAUAGCUAAUCCCGCAUAAGAACAUUUACUGCAUGGUAGAUGUUUAAAAGGUGCAAAUGCAUCACUACCAGAUGGACCUGCGUUGUAUUAGCUAGUAGGUGAGGUAACGGCUCACCUAGGCGACGAUACAUAGCCGACCUGAGAGGGUGAUCGGCCACACUGGGACUGAGACACGGCCCAGACUCCUACGGGAGGCAGCAGUAGGGAAUCUUCGGCAAUGGGGGGAACCCUGACCGAGCAACGCCGCGUGAGUGAAGA
rnacentral:rRNA from 1 species